UUGCUCAAAGAAAGAGACGCUCUCCUCAGUGUUUCAUCUUAAGAAAAACCUCCCGGGGGUGAGACUGACUCGGAACAACGCGGCAACUUGCAAAACUAAACGAGUCAGGAAACUGGGGUGGGGGCUUACGUGCCCUAAGCACCAACGACUCACCCCUUUGAGACGGCUGCAAGGAAAAGCGGUGUAAAGAAAAGGGAAAGGCUCAUCCCAAAUUCGGCAGCGUGAUGGUGGCAAGGGGGCAGGAGGUGACAAGUCCGGAACUUGUAAGGGGUCUACAGCAGAGAACAGUUUCCACACUGAGGCAGCACAGGGAAAGAGAAGUUGCUGAGCUUCAGUCUGUGGAGGGAUUUAACGACAAAGAGUUUAAAAAGAACAGAUCCCUAUGGCUAUAGAGUAAAUUCCUUUGCACUUCAUCAAAGGAAGAUGCUACUGCACAGAUCCUCAACUGACAGAGGACUCAGAAACCAUCACUGCAACAUUUUCUACACUAGUAGCUUCAUGUGUUCGAGUGCAGGAUAAAAUCACUGAACAGUUUUAUGCUUAUUGGUUUUAUUUUUAAUAUAGUUAGUCAGACUACAAGGACCUGAACAUGUUAUUAUAUAUUGUACUCUGAUCAUGACACCUCAAAUUUCAAAAUCUCAAAUCUUUCCAAAAAGAAUUGUGACUAUGUAACCUUCGACUAUCAGUUGUAUCAUAAUCACUUAUUUGAUGAUGGAGAGUUUAGCUGAAAAUUUGUUGUUAUUAAUUUAGUUUAUUUGUCUUUUUUCCCUAGAUUCCCCUUGAAACUACAAUUCUUGAUAUAUUGAUUUACUAAACAUUUUUGAAAGACUACUAUAAGCAAGGCAUUUGAUAGGAUUUAUAGAUGAAACAACUCUUGUUCUCAAGAACCUAAAGUUUUUUAAGAUAUGUGAAAGUCUAUUAAAUGGAGAAGAGAAUAGAAUAAAUAAGUAGAAGGCAAAAUAAAAUGUCAGAGAAGUA